AGCAGCCGCGGUAAUUCCAGCUCCAAUAGCGUAUAUUAAAGUUGUUGCAGUUAAAAAGCUCGUAGUUGAAUUUCGGGAUUGGCGCAUCGGUCGUGCCUCACGGGGUAUGAACUGGUGCAGUCAAUUUCUCACCUUCUGGAGAACCGCGAUGUCCUUAAUUGGAUGCCGCGGGGAACCAGGACCUUUACUUUGAAAAAUUAGAGUGUUUAAAGCAGGCAUUUUUGCUUGAAUACAUUAGCAUGGAAUAAUAAAAUAGGACGGCAUGGUUCUAUUUUGUUGGUUUCUAGGACCACCGUAAUGAUUAAUAGGGAUAGUUGGGGGCAUUAGUAUUCAAUUGUCAGAGGUGAAAUUCUUGGAUUUAUUGAAGACUAACUACUGCGAAAGCAUUUGCCAAGGAUGUUUUCAUUAAUCAAGAACGAAAGUUAGGGGAUCGAAGACGAUCAGAUACCGUCGUAGUCUUAACCAUAAACUAUGCCGACUAGGAAUCAGACGAUGUUAAUUUUUAAUGUACUC
rnacentral:misc_RNA from 1 species